rnacentral:lncRNA from 1 species
GGUGCUCUUGAUUUGUUUAUUUUGGGAAUAUAUAUAUCUAUAUAUGGAUUUAGUUAAUGUUGAUGCUUUAUUACACUUCCCCUUUUUAUGAGAUAACCAUAAGACCUUUACAUAUUCGGAUUCUAUAUCAUUGAUAUAUCUUUUUUCUUUCUUUCACCCUUCAUUUUUAUCUGUAUAUUCUUAUUGCUUUACAACUUAUAAUCAGAUUCGUUUUUUUUUUUUAUCCAAUAUCUCAGUUGUUAUAAUUCUACUACCAAAAUAUGAUAUCUUGAUUUUAUUUCGAUUUUUAGAUUAAUUCUUUAAAUCCAGAUAAUGCGAAGCGAUGAGUUGGUUAGUACUUAGUUAUUAAUGAAUUCAUCCUAUAAGUCAUUUAUUUUAUUGUCGAAC